UACGUAGGGGGCAAGCGUUGGUCCGGAUUUAUUGGGCGUAAAGAGCGUGUAGGCGGCCAAGCAGGUCCGCUGUGAAAACUCGGAGGCCUCAAACCUCGAGGACGUCGGUGGAAACCGUUUGGCUAGAGUCCGGAAGAGGAGAGUGGAAUUCCUGGUGUAGCGGUGAAAUGCGCAGAUAUCAGGAAGAACACCCGUGGCGAAAGCGGCUCUCUGGAACGGUACUGACGCUGAGACGCGAAAGCGUGGGGAGCGAACAGG
rnacentral:rRNA from 1 species